ensembl:lncRNA
GUCAGGACAUCAUGUAUGUUAGGCAUAUGGUGUAUUGGGAAUAAUUCAUUACUGAAGUUGGAAAAUGAUUGACUUCUUUAAUAAGUCAGAGCCAAUUCUAGGUGAUUCCUAUAACAGCGGCAACUCCACUUACUCUUUCUUUUGGGAGAGAGAGCUGUGGACAUCUGCACUGGGAACAAAAUAAAAUAAAAUAGCUCAAGGUCUAUUUUAUCUAUGCCCCAGGCUCUUAAUUCUUGUGAUGAUAAAAACUGUUAUUGUUGGUAGUGCCUCCCUUCACUCCCUUCCCAUUUUGGUGUUUCAAUAAAAUCUCUGUACAUCCAGGCAGUGUGCAGCACAUGGAAAUGUCAACCAACCAUAAUAGUAGAGUAAGAAGUGGCAAGAGGAGAAAACUUAAAUACCUGAGCUUCUCUUGGUCAGUUUUACAAUCAACUUGUGCAAUAUAAACCUAGAAAUAUCCAUGCUAAGUAUGACCAUAAGAAAUUGCCAAUAUUUGACCAUUUCUGACCCACAAAAGCAGCAAUUUCUUAUGGUUCAAUUUAAUACUAUUCACAUUGCAUUGAAACAAACUGGUGAACAGACUGAAAAAAAUCCUCCAAUCCUACCCAGUGGAUCUCCAGGAAGGGGAAGGAGGCUACCCAACAUGUUUUUAUUUUGUUUUGUUUUGUUUUGUUUCAUUCCAUUUUUAACAAAGGGACUUCACCAAUACACACUGCUACAAAUGCUUCCUUGUUUUUACCCAUGUUUGGGUAUAUACAUCUGAGAACAGCAGUGGAAUUUCUCCCUCAGCUCUGGACUGUUCAUCGCUGAGAGAAAGUGCAUCAGCAGAGUUUAAGAAUGGUUCUUCUAAAUCCUCUAGAAAUGGAAAGCUAUUAUCUUUAAGUUUCUGAGGAAGCAUCUAAAAAAGAGAAAUAAUUUAUCCUUUUACUUGAACUUCUCUGAGUUUCUCCAUCAGUCCCAAGGUACUAUUUACCUGCCGCUAUAAUUUGACCCCAAAAUACACAUAAAAAUGAGAUAAUGUGUGUGAAGGAUUUAGAAGAAUAACUGUAUUCUUUUUGUUAUAUUUUAAUUUCUCAGGCUAAUCUGUUGUUGUUGCAAAGAGGGCAUUCACCAAAUGUAUUAUAAAUAAGCAUUACCUUGCUCAAAAUCUUUCAACAUGGGAAGUUUUAUUUCCUUAAUGUAUUUACAUGUAUACAGGGAACCAGGUCAUCCAUUGCCAAGAUCGUAACAUAACAAUCUCAAAACAAAGGUGUGGCUACAAGGAGUUUAAACAUUGACUUCCUCUUUUUACUACUAAACUGCCAUAAACACAGAAAUGCUCAGCUCUUCAGGCCUUGCCCUUUCAUCACAAACUAAAAGUCUACACAUGGGGGAAAUGCCCUAUCAAGCAAAGGCCAAUUCAGAUCAGAACAGGUGUUAGGGGUAUCUUUACCUGUGGAUAUUUCCAGAAGAUUUCAUUCCUCAAAGAGGAAGGGAAAAAGAAUAUGGAGAAGAACAAAAAUGCUUGAUUGAUCGUUCCUUGAUUACUGAACAAUAACCAUACAAUUUAUUUUUUCGACAUACAAUGGCAUGGCUAGUUGUAUUCAUCUGCUCAGACUGCUGUGACAGAAUCCCAGAGACGAGGUGGCUUAAACAAUAGACUUUAUUUUUCACUGUUCUGGAGGCUGGGAAAUCCAAGGUCAAGAUGUCAGCAGAUUUGGUUCUUGAUGAGGGCUCUCUUUCUGGCUUACAGAUGGCCCCUUCUUGCUGCAUCUUCAUGUGGCAGAGAGGGGGAGAGGGGGGGGGGGAGAGAAAGAGAGAGACAGAGAAAGAGAGAGAGAACACACAUUCUGGUGUGUCUUCCUCUUCUUACGAGGGCACUAACCCCAUUGUGAAGCCCCUACCCUCAGGACCUCAUCUAGAUCUAAUUGUGUCCCAAAGGCUCUACUCCCUUUGCCAUCACAUCAGAGGUUGGGGCUUCAAAAUACGAAUUUGGAGGGGAUACAAUUCAGUCCACAGCACUAGUUAACAACAGCAAAAUUACCUCUCAAAAGUUCUAAUUCAUUUUAAAAAGCACUUGGUAGACAUCUGAAUGUAACAAAUAUUAAUAAAAUACAGAAUGGCCAUUUUAAAACUAAUGUCCUCAAUGUUCUAGACCCAUCUUGCAUCUUUAGUAAACAAUGGCUACACACCAGGAAGCAUAGAUUAGCUUUUCCUUGGAGUAUUUAUAUUUCCUUUCUUUCUAUUCUCCUGGCCUUUUUUUUUUUUUUUUUAACAAUUUGGCUUAGUGUGCUAAAAAUAGUUUGUGCACACUGUUGUUCCUUUUAGCUUCAUUGUUACCAACUGAUUUCUAAUUGUCUUUGAGACUUGGAAAAUCUCCUGUGAAUGGAGGGAGCUCACGAGCAGGUUAAUGCAACCCUGGAUGGGGGCCACAGCUCCUCCAGUCUCUUCAGCCCUCCCACUCCACCCCUCUUCAUCAUACAUCCUUUUGGAAUUUAUUUCUGCCUGUGUUGAAUCUGGGUAUUCAAUGCUCUCGGUUACUAUAGUUAGAUAGACUCUAUUUUUAGUUACAAACUGUUUCCCUGAGCUACAUACAGCUGCUCAUUAACGCUGGAAGCCUCUUUCACAAAGCUUGUGUUCUCGUCCUUCCUUUUCAAUGCCCAAUAGGCUUAUGAGAGAAAAUACAAACACUGGUUAUAUUUGGUUUUCUACUCAGCCAUGUCAAGUCCUAAACUGAGAGGAAGUUAUAAAUAUACUACAGGAAAAUGCUCUCUUUUCCCUUAAGUAGCAGUUUACUGCCACACGAUAUUGUGGUAGAAAGGGUAGCGAGGAGCCUAUAUUGAAAUAAGAGGUUAAGUAAAUUAAAAUUUGACUUUUUGAAGGCAUUGUCCAGUAUGUGGGGUUGGUGUUUUCACUACAUGGCGCUGAAGAGUGCCUGAGACACACUAGGCACUCAUUCUAUGUUUGCGGAACUCAGAACAGUAGUCAAUGUGUAGCAGGUAUUCAAAAAAGGUUGAUUGCUUGAAUGAAUACAUUAUUUUCCAUAGUUUACCCUUUGAGAUCGGAGAGAUCUUCUUUGAAGCAAAUUCCUUGGAAAGAUAACUUCCUCGAGGUGAAACUGGGGAUUCCUCUUUCUCUUUCACCUUUGUGGAGAAAAGUGUUUAAGUUGCUGGAAGGCAGAGCUGGAAGGUUGGAAAGACCCUCUGCACAAAUGAGCGUUUCCUGAAGACUUGGAGAUGAAAGUGAUUCUGUAGGUUUGCACAAGGCUGUGCUUCCUUCCUGCUCCCUUCACACAAUGGCUCUUCAGUCUGCAUUACAUCACUGCCCUGCCUUUUGGCUGCUCUAAAUUAACUGCUGGGAAUCAAGAAUCCAUUUCCACUGUAGAGAUGUUCAUCUCACUGUACAGAAGCAUGGCUAAGAGCUUCAAGAGGGAUCCCAGCUCCACCAGCGACCAGUUUUGUGACCUAGAUCAAACUGCUUAACCUCACUAAGUCUUGGCUGGGACCACUUGAAAUGGGGUUAGCAGGGUGACCCCCACUCUCUUUUCCCCCUCACUUCCUCCCUGAAUCACCAUUUGCUGUUUCUGGCCUCAAGAAGAUCCAGGCAGGGAGGAAGGAGCAGGAACCUGGCAAAAAGUUCUGACUUGCUUAGUGCUGUGGUAAAAUGAUCCCGUGCCCCCUGGGACAACAAGAUUGCUCAAGCUGACACUGUCUCUCGUGAGUGUUUUCAUGGGUUCUCUGGAAACCUGCUCCUGGGAUUCUCCAAAUAUAACUUUGUCAGGAGCACAGCCUUCUUCAUCAGGCCCUACUCAAUCCCCGUGGGCUUCUGUUCUCAGGACUCUCCACAGAUAGGAUCUCCAGGACAAUAUUCCAGCCAAGGGUACCUUAGCUGGGUCAUGUCCCUUGACCUUCAGAGGGCAGGGUCGGAAGUUCUCAGAGGUAGGCCGUGCUCUGCUGGGACAGCCACUUUGGUUUGCUUAGGUUUGUGUCAGGCACCUAUUCUGACCUAUAGCUACAGAGAUUAGAGCUAGCUCAAAGGAGAAGGUACUCCCAACUCCAGCCCUUGGAGAGUAUUGGGGCUUCCAGCAAAACUCUUUCCACAAAAAUCCUCCUCACAAAUCAUCUCCUAAUUUGAGUGUUCUUGACCCUUUAAUAUCCUUCAUCUAGGUGAGAGUCACUAGGGUAAGGAAUCCAAGAGAUAAAACUGGUCUAGAAUAUAUCUUUUGAAAUGUGUACAUGGAUGAUCUUCUCAUAGGUGAAUUUGUAUCUAACAUUUAUUGCAUCUAUUAAAAAAUUGAGAUAUAAUUCAUAAACCACAAGAUUCCCUUGUUUAAAGUGUACAAUUCAGUGGAUUUCAGUAUGUUCCCGAGGUUGGGCAACCAUCACCACUAUCUACUUCCAGAACAUUACCAUCACCCUAAAAAAGAAUCCUCACUCUCAUUAGCAGUCACUCCUCAUUCUCCUCUCCCCACAUCCCUGAAAACUACUGAUCUACUUUCUGUCUCUAUGGAUUUUCCUAUUCUGGACAUUUCGUAAACAUGGAAUCAUAUAAGACAUGACUUCUUUCACUUAGCAUAGUAUUUUCAAGGUUCAUCCAUAUUGUAGUACAUAUCAGUAUUUCUUUUCUUAUUAUGGCUGAAUAAUACAUUGUAUAGAUAUGCCUCAUUUUGUUUAUUCAUUCAUCAGUUGGUGGGUAUCUGGGUUAUUUUGAUUUUUUUUGGCUAUUAUGAACAAUAUGUACUAGUUUUUGUGUGGACAUGUGUUUUCAGUUCACUUGGGUAUAUAUCUAAGACUGAUAUUGCUAAGUGACAUUGUAACUCUGUGUUGAAUCUUUUGAGGAACUACCAGACUAUGUUUCAAAUGGCUAUACCGUUUUAUAAUCCCAAAUGUAUGCGGGUUCUGAUUUCUCUGCAUCCUUGUCAACACUUGUUAUUGUCUGUCUUGUUUAUUAUAGCCGUCCAAGUGGAUGUGAAAUGGUAUCUUAUUGUAAUUUUGAUUCGCAUUUCUCUAAUGACUAAUGAUGUUGACCAUCUUUCAUAUGCUUAUUGGCCAUUUGCAUAUCUUCUUUGGAGAAAUGUCUAUUCAAAUCCUUUGCCCAUUUUUUAAUUGGGUAAUUUGUCUUUUAUUGUUGACUCAUAAGAGUUCCUUAUGAAGUCUUAAUACUAGACUCUUAUCAGAUACAUGAUUUGCAAAUAUUUUCUCCCAUUCUGUGGGUUGUCUUUUCACUUUCUUAAUAGCAUUCUUUGAGGCAUAAAGGUUUUUAAUUUUGAUGAAGUCCAAUCUAUCUAUUUUUUCUUGUUUGCUUGUGUUUUAGGUGUCGUAUCUAAGAAAGCAUUGCUUAAUCCAAGGUCACAAAGAUUUACACCUAUGUUUUCUUUUAAGGGUUUUAUUAUUUUACCUGUUACUUUGAAGUCUUUGGUCCAUUUUGAGUUAAGUUUUUCUAUGUGGUGUGAGAAUGUAUUGCAUCUUGACACCACAUUAAAAUGUCCAACUCAGCAUCCUGUUACAAAAGUACAUCAAUUAUAUUUUUGUAAAUAAGAGGUGGCAAAAAAAAAAAUCCAUGC